UCCGUAGGUGAACCUGCGGAAGGAUCAUUACCGAGUGAGGGCCCUCUGGGUCCAACCUCCCACCCGUGUUUAUCGUACCUUGUUGCUUCGGCGGGCCCGCCGCAAGGCCGCCGGGGGGCAUCUGCCCUCUGGCCCGCGCCCGCCGAAGACACCAUUGAACGCUGUCUGAAGAUUGCAGUCUGAGCAAUUAGUUAAAUAACUUAAAACUUUCAACAACGGAUCUCUUGGUUCCGGCAUCGAUGAAGAACGCAGCGAAAUGCGAUACGUAAUGAGAAUUGCAGAAUUCAGUGAAUCAUCGAGUCUUUGAACGCACAUUGCGCCCCCUGGUAUUCCGGGGGGCAUGCCUGUCCGAGCGUCAUUGCUGCCCUCAAGCACGGCUUGUGUGUUGGGCUCCGUCCUCCUUCCGGGGGACGGGCCCGAAAGGCAGCGGCGGCACCGCGUCCGGUCCUCGAGCGUAUGGGGCUUCGUCACCCGCUCUGCAGGCCCGGCCGGCGCUUGCCGACACAUCAAUCUUUUUUCCAGGUUGACCUCGGAUCAGGUAGGGAUACCCGCUGAACUUAAGCAUAUCAAUAAGCGGAGGA
rnacentral:rRNA from 1 species